rnacentral:rRNA from 1 species
AGUGAACGCUGGCGGUAUGCCUAACACAUGCAAGUCGAACGGCAGCACAGUAAGAGCUUUCUCUUACGGGUGGCGAGUGACGGACGGGUGAGGAAUACAUCGGAAUCUACUUUUUCUUGGGUGAUUACGUAGGGAAACUUACGCUACUACCGAAUACGUCCUACGGCUUAAAUCAGGAGAUCUUCGGACCUUGCGUGAUUGUUUGAGCCGAUGUCGGAUUAGCUAGUUGGCGAGGUAAAGGCCCACCAAGGCAACGAUCCGUAGCUGGUCUGAGAGGAUGAUCAGCCACACUGGAACUGAGACACGGUCCAGACUCCUACGGGAGGCAGCAGUAGGGAAUAUUGGACAAUGGGCGCAAGCCUGAUCGAGCCAUACCGCGUGAGUGAAGAAGGCCUUCGGGUUGUAAAGCUCUGUUGUUAGGAAAGAAAAGCAGCAGAAGAAUACCCCGAUGUUCUGACGGUACCCAAAGAGUAAGCAACGGCUAACUUCGUG